UACGAAGGGGGCUAGCGUUGCUCGGAAUCACUGGGCGUAAAGCGCACGUAGGCGGAUUGCUGAGUCAGGGGUGAAAUCCUGGAGCUCAACUCCAGAACUGCCUUUGAUACUGGCGACCUUGAGUCCGGGAGAGGUGAGUGGAACUGCGAGUGUAGAGGUGAAAUUCGUAGAUAUUCGCAAGAACACCAGUGGCGAAGGCGGCUCACUGGCCCGGUACUGACGCUGAGGUGCGAAAGCUAGGGGAGCAAACGGG
rnacentral:rRNA from 1 species